ACUCUGGUUCAAAGGGAGAGAAGAAGGUGAAUAAAAAGAUUAAGUAUGUAGUUGAAGUGAUCAUUGGUUAUAUAAGCAUGUGUUGUUGUAAGGGUUUCAGUGAGGAGAAUGAAGGCAUUGAUGUGGAUUUGGCAAUUCCUGUUGAGGAUUUGGCUUCUAUUUGGAUAGAUAGAAAUAUAAAUUUACAAUCUUUUUUGCCACUUGUCAGUCAUGAGGUUUGUGGAUUGAUUAGUGAGAGAGGGUUUGAUGUGAAUUACUUGGCUGGUGUGGUUGUGGUGGAAGCAUUUUUGUUGAAACUUUGCUUGGAUAUAAGGAUUGGGGCUGGAGGCUUGGUGGUGUUGGAAGAUGAGCUGAAAAGUUGGGUUGUUGCUUCAAUUCCAGCUUUCGCAACUCUUAUUUCUUGGAAAUGCUUAUGAGGAUGUUACUGCAGCCGACUUUGCCAGUGACUGCCUUGCUGGGACCUGACGAUGUAAUUCUGCUGAGAAAUAUUCUUUACGAUGCUAUUAUUUUGGUGGAGUACUCUUUCCUCAAGCCCGAGACAGUUCACCUACCAACCGAGCAUGUAAAAGUAUCGUGACUACAAGAUU